GUAGCCCACUGGUUUCCUCUCAUCUCUCUGCGAAGAACACUGGGACCACCCAAAAUAAAAAGAGACCUUGCCCCCAAUAACACCUAUUUCUCUCUCGCAAGGUCACGAGGUCUUUGAGAAAGGGUAAAGAACAAAAAUCAGGGAAUUUUAGGGCUUCUGUUGUAGAGUUUUCAUCUGAUGUAAAGAAGAAGGUUAGAGAUGGUUGGAGAAGAAGAUUGUGGUCUCUGUUUGUGGGUGUGGAGGAGGUGAAAGAGGGCACCGAUAAUAUUAGGCAUCUUCGCUUCUGUGAAGUUGUAAAGUUCUUGUUAGUUCUAACAAAUAAUUGAAAUUGGCACAAUUGGAGUCAUUUCCUUGCACAACAUCCUCAACUUAUCUCGCAUGUGAGGACCAAGUUUCGGCCGAUCUUUUUGCAGUGUUUGAACGUUCAACAUCCUCUUGAACUAAUAGUAAUAGCAAUGUCAAUAACAGUAAUAAUGUUGACACCAAUAUACCUAAGCCUCCUCCACUCCCUUCUUCUCUUGGUUAUUCUAAGACCCAUGAUCCUUCCAAUAGAAGGCGCUCAGGUUACAGUUGUGUCCCAAAAGAAACAAAGAACACAUGGGAGAGGUUGUUUGAAGAAGGGUACAGAGCUGAUGUUCAUAUUCUAACUGAUGACAAGGCCGUCAUCUCUUCGCACUCAAACAUUCUUAGCAAGUUACAACUUUGGAGGAGAAGAUUGAAGCCAUUUUAACUGACUUUGAGCUCAGAUUCUCAUUGUCAUCUUUCUUUUCUUUGCUUGUAUUGUGUUUUGUGAAUAACCAUUGUAUAUCCUAUGCAA